rnacentral:rRNA from 1 species
CCUACGGGAGGCAGCAGUGGGGAAUAUUGCACAAUGGGCGGAAGCCUGAUGCAGCGACGCCGCGUGAGGGAUGAAGGCCUUCGGGUUGUAAACCUCUUUCAGCAGGGACGAAGCGUGAGUGACGGUACCUGCAGAAGAAGCACCGGCUAACUACGUGCCAGCAGCCGCGGUAAUACGUAGGGUGCGAGCGUUGUCCGGAAUUACUGGGCGUAAAGAGUUCGUAGGCGGUUUGUCGCGUCGUUUGUGAAAACCCGGGGCUCAACUUCGGGCUUGCAGGCGAUACGGGCAGACUUGAGUGUUUCAGGGGAGACUGGAAUUCCUGGUGUAGCGGUGAAAUGCGCAGAUAUCAGGAGGAACACCGGUGGCGAAGGCGGGUCUCUGGGAAACAACUGACGCUGAGGAACGAAAGCGUGGGUAGCAAACAGGAUUAGAUACCCUGGUAGUCCACGCCGUAAACGGUGGGCGCUAGGUGUGGGUUCCUUCCACGGGAUCUGUGCCGUAGCUAACGCAUUAAGCGCCCGCCUGGGAGUCGGCCGCAAGGCUAAAACUCGAAAGGAUUGACGG